CCAGGCCCCUCCUUGUUAAGGAAGAACACAGAGGAAGCAGAGAACAUGGAAGUAGCAUUAGAGUGGAAUCAGGAGAGCUGGACCCAAACCCUGCAGUCACUUAGCUUCCGGUCUUUCUGUUAGUACAUAUGGCCAACUGGCCUACUCUAGUGGGCAGUAUGUACACAGGUUGAACAAAUAGAAGUUUGGAAGAGGUCAUUAAUGGUAUGAAAUUCCUUUCCUUCCCUUUGUUUAACCGGCCAAAUUUGCUUUGACAUAUGUUAGAGAUGGGAGCUUUGGGAUUAAAGACUGUAAAACAGAAACUCCUUUACAAACUAACUUUGAAUUUAGGAGUUUGGAGAGAGACAAACAAAACUAUAUGUUUGUGUAAGAGUAUUGCCUCAGCCCCAUCUCAGCAGAGUAUCACUGCCAACAGAUGGUGUCAGCAGUUAUGGAGUUAAAUUAGUCAUAGGCAUAGUGCUGUUUUUUUGCCCCAUGACAAUUUGUAACAUUUGUCCUUCAUUUCCAGAUCUGUUACCAGAUCAUAUAAAAUCCCGUAAAUUCAAAAGCAUUGAAUGUGCUUAAAAAAUGAUAGAAAUCAAAGUGAUGUUAGC
rnacentral:lncRNA from 1 species